UCUGAAUAGAGAGUCAAAUAGUACGUGAAACUGCCUAGGGGAACAAACCCGUUGAACUCAAUAGACCGGGGCGGCGACAUUCAGCCGUGCGUCGGUGUGCCUCCGGGCGUGCCGGCCGCGGUGCACUUGUCGAUCCGCAGCGUACGGACAUCGCGAUCCAUUACGAACGGGGCUUUGGGGGUGCGCAAGCGCCUCCUAACAAUCCAACACUUGGUCCCAGACUCGUGCGGUCGACCCUCUAGUAGUGGCACUUAGCUCGGAAGGCCUGUGCCGCAAACGGGGGAUUCGGGGGCCUCCGGGCCCUCCGGAGCUCGGCCGAGUCCGGUGUACCGUUGGAUGCGUGAUGGACUCACACGGAACGGGGGGAGAUGGAAGCGCAUGCCAUUCGGCAUGUCCCGGCACCUAGCCAUGGGCGACCACUCUCCUGAUCGGCGAUGUAGCACAAU
rnacentral:rRNA from 1 species